rnacentral:rRNA from 1 species
UCCUACGGGAGGCAGCAGUGGGGAAUAUUGGACAAUGGGCGAAAGCCUGAUCCAGCCAUGCCGCGUGUGUGAAGAAGGUCUUCGGAUUGUAAAGCACUUUAAGUCGGGAGGAAGGGCAGUAAGUUAAUACCUUGCUGUUUUGACGUUACCAACAGAAUAAGCACCGGCUAACUUCGUGCCAGCAGCCGCGGUAAUA